AAGUGGAUUAGAACCAAUAGAAGGACAGGAUCAAGUAGAUAAUGUUGCACCCACUAAAAAAGUCAUGCUAGAACAACUGAUAUCAGAUGUUAAAGGAAAUGAUAUUACUCUAGGUAAGCCUAUGUUGAAGAAAAGAGGAUACGUUCCUGCACCAUUUUAUCUGGUCACAAAGGACAGUCAAAAAGUAAUGGAGCUGGGUUUUGACAGUCGAUGGAAGGAAAAUCUGUUAAUAACUAAAGCUACUUGUAAAAACAUACCAACAAGAUUAACAGUUCAAGGACUACAGCAAGUAGAAGCUGUGGUAGACGAUGAUAAUUUUAAUCAAAAUAUUUUACCUUCUCUUAAAACACUGGCCAUUUAUUUACCAUCUGGUUUAAAUACCAACAACCUAUCAACACCGUCUGCUGUCAAAAUGUUUAGUGAUAUUCAACUACAUCUUCUGUGUAAUCCAGGAAAACCAGAAAUGGAAGAAUUUAAAGGAUUAUUUAACCCUCAUUUAGUUGACAUGCCACCAAGUAAUUUACAAAAGAAACUGUCUGCAGAUGAACUGUAUGGAAACGUAGCUGUUGGAAUAGCUUACACACAACUUACAGCUAG